rnacentral:rRNA from 1 species
GUCCACGCUGUAAACGAUGGGUACUAGAUUUGGUGGGAUUUGACCCCUGCCGAGUCGGAGCUAACGCAAUAAGUACCCCGCCUGGGAAGUACGGUCGCAAGACUAAAACUCAAAGGAAUUGACGGGGGCCCGCACAAGCGGUGGAUCAUGUGGUUUAAUUCGAAGCAACGCGAAGAACCUUACCUGGGUUUGACAUCCUCGGACCGCUGCAGAAAUGCAGUUUUAGUAGCAAUACUACCGAGAGACAGGUGCUGCAUGGCUGUCGU